rnacentral:lncRNA from 1 species
CACACAUACACAUAUACACACCAGCUCUCACUGAAAUUAAACUAUAACUGAAGACAUCACACACACACACACAACAGCUCUCACUGAAAUUGAAGCCAAACUAUAACUGAAGAUAUCACACACACACACACACACACACACACCAGCUCUCACUGAGAUUAAGCUAUAACUGAAGACAUCACACACACACACACCAGCUCUCACUGAAAUUAAACUAUAACUGAAGACAUCACACACACACACACACACACCAGCUCUCACUGAAAUUAAACUAUAACUGAAGACAUCACACACACACACACACACACCAGCUCUCACUGAGAUUAAGCUAUAACUGAAGACAUCACACACACACACACACACACCAGCUCUCACUGAAAUUAAACUAUAACUGAAGACAUCACACACACACACCAGCUCUCACUGAAAUUAAGCUAUAACUGAAGACAUCACACACACACACACACACACACCAGCUCUCACUGAAAUUAAGCUAUAACUGAAGACAUCACACACACACACACACACCAGCUCUCACUGAAAUUAAGCUAUAACUGAAGACAUCACACACACACACACACACACCAGCUCUCACUGAAAUUAAACUAUAACUGAAGACAUCACACACACACACACACACACACACCAGCUCUCACUGAAAUUAAGCUAUAACUGAAGACAUCACACACACACACACACACACACACCAGCUCUCACUGAAAUUAAACUAUAACUGAAGACAAAUCCUGCAGGGUCACACACCAACUGCUGUUUGGGAAGUUCUUCAAUGAUUCCAACCUGGAUUCCUCUUACUUUACUUGGAUGCCAGCCACAACAUUCCUGGGAUCCUUUUCCAUUUAAAUAAGUUAGGGCUUGGAGAUGGGGAGUGGGAGGAGCAUGGGGAAGCCAAGGCCCAGAGAAGGUAAGCAACCGUCCUAAGAUAACACAGCACUCUUGAGAUGACAGCUCAGGUAUGCAGUCUGCCGGCCCAAGCCCCAUGGAACUGUGGGAAGGAACGCAAGUGAUUCUCCUAUUGGACAGGGGCAAGUGCAUGGAAAAGGAUGAUGGUGAGGCUGAAAGCAGGAAAAGAUUUGACCCAUCUCCCACGUAUGAGCAGCCAUCUCGGGGCACAGGAUCCUAGAAUCCUCAGCAAAGGCAGAAAAAUGGCUAAGAUGACCCUCACCAACCCAUAUGUGCCUUAUCAGCCCAAGAGUGAGUCAGCAGAUGCGGCCAGCACCUUCCGUGUCUGGAAAAGAGACAGGAUUGGGAGAAAAUGUGGGAGGUUGCCCUUUCCCUGGGCCAAAUUACAAUUCUAACCAAGG